UACGUAGGGAGCAAGCGUUGUCCGGAAUUACUGGGCGUAAAGGGUGCGUAGGCGGCUUGGCAAGUCAGAUGUGAAAUCCCCGGGCUUAACUCGGGGGGUGCAUUUGAAACUGCUGAGCUUGAGUGCAGGAGAGGAAAGCGGAAUUCCUAGUGUAGCGGUGAAAUGCGUAGAUAUUAGGAGGAACACCAGUGGCGAAGGCGGCUUUCUGGACUGUAACUGACGCUGAGGCACGAAAGCGUGGGGAGCAAACAGGAUUAGAUACCCUGGUAGUCCACGCUGUAAACGAUGGAUACUAGGUGUGGGGGAGAUACAACCUCCGUGCCGCAGCAAACGCAAUAAGUAUCCCGCCUGGGGAGUACGGUCGCAAGACUGAA
rnacentral:rRNA from 1 species